AUGCACUUUAGUUUGAGGCAAUCAAACAAACAUCAAUUCAAAAGAUUAUAUUUGAUUAAGGUUUUGAAUGUUAAUCAUUGGAAUUCAGCUUGGCGUGCUAAAGGACCGAAAAAGAACAAAAACAAAGGGAAAAAAUGUUAUCACAUUGGUUUUUUUGGAGAGGCAGUCCAAAGAACCCAAUAGAUUCAACAAGGAAAAGUGA
rnacentral:lncRNA from 1 species